GUUGGAGAUGAGAAGAUAGCCUGGGGUGACUGGUAAAUGGCCACAGUGUUUACAGGGACCCUGCAAAACACUACAGUGACUUUCAGGAGCUUUGAAAUGCUGGCGCAUUUGUGAAUCCAGAUUUGAAGUACUCUUCGCAGGAUUGUGCUUUGUAUUGAACUAUGACAAGUAUAUUUGUGCUUCAGAUAUUAAUGAGGAGCGGAUACAGCACUUCUAAAACAGUCCAUGAUGUGAGUUGCCUGCUUUUCUCCACCAGGCACCAAUUCUGCCAGUAACAGAGAUAACUCCAGUCUGCAAAAUCUUCUGCCCAUGCCUUUACGUCAGUCCCUUGCUGAAUCCAGGCAAUGUUUUGAUAAGAAAUGUUACAUUCACACAUAGCUGAAGUGUUCAGGGCAGUUUUAUAGUCAGCACAACCCAUUUUACCCUAGUCCUGUACAACACAUGCAAAACUGGCAUAAAAUAUGGAACCAGGCAGAUGGCCCAUUUUUUCACCUCCAGCCUACUUUUAUUUGUAUUCCUCAUCUACUUUUUCCCUUUGGUCUACUCCUCACCUAAUGAAUAUUUGCCGAUGGCAGCGAAUGCAGUAGUCCUGCUUUAGGUUGCGUUCAGUCAGAGCUGCCCCCACUGGGUUUAGUUGUGUCUGUGGAGAAGGACAUGGCAUGAAGGGAAGACCAGGAGGAAGAGAAAAGCUGGUAGAGACUAAGAGAGAAAGGGGCAUGUCUCAAACACUCAGCAAGAAAGGGGAUUACUGCAAUUUAAAUUCUGUGAAUUUAAAUUGGGUCAGAAAAGCGGCUCUAGAAGGCAGGAUAGCACUUGUCUGAGGCCCACCUCCUGGGAAGCAUCUGAAACAUCUUUGCACCCGUGGUUCUGCCAGUGGGAAGGGAAGACCUUAGCACACACACCUGAGCUCUUUCCAGAAGGUUCUGGAGCACCAGCUGCACAUGCGAGGCAGUGUAUGAGAUCUCAUCGCCCAGAGAGGGUGGGGGGUCUCCUCUGGAGAUAUCUACACCCCACCUGGGUGCCAUCCUGCGCAGUGUGCUCUAUGAUCCUGCCUGGCAGGGGGCUGGGUGAUCUUCAGGGAUCCCUUCCCACCUUGGCCAUUCUGGGAUUGUGUGGGAUGAGGCCUGGAGAACUUUUCUGA
rnacentral:lncRNA from 1 species